rnacentral:lncRNA from 1 species
AAUUGUGUUUCCUGUGGUGUGGGGAUGCUAUGUGGGGCUGGGACAGAGCCCUCCUGGAAGGGGGAGAUCCUUGCUCUCUGGAGACCCAACCUCAGGAACCAACACUGUCUGGCUCUUUGACCUUGGGCAAGACACUUAUCAUUUCUCUCAUCCUUAAAAUGUGGCAACAGUAAUAAUCACUGUGACUGACCUGGCUGGCUUCCUGGCAAGGGCUGGAGAUGAGAGGAGAGAAAACCCACCAGCCUGGAUAAUACCAAGUGUACCUCAAACUACUCCACAGAAUAGAAAUGGAACUUGUUUAUUAUUAGUUCUAAUUGUGUGUGCACAUGUGUGUAUUCUUUAGGAUUGUGUGUGUGUGUUUGUGUGUGUGUGUGUGUGUGUGUGUGAGAGAGAGAGAGAGAGAGAGAGAGAGAGAGAGAUUGUGUGUGGUAUUGGGGAUCAUAUCAAACCCAGGGCUUUAUGCAUGGUAGGCAAGUGCUCCAACACUGAGUUACAUCCCCAGCCCUUUUUUAUUUUCAGACAUGCUCUCACUAAAUUGGCCAGGCUGGCUUCCAACUUGUGGUCCCCUGUCUCAGCCUCCCCCAUAGCCUCCCAAUUUACAGGAGUUAACUU